GUUUGGACUGAGUGACACAGGAGCUGAUCAGACUCAGAGACAAGGGGGUUUGUUUCAGGUCUGAAAUGACUCAUUCUUUUGAGCAGCUCGACAAGGUGGAGCAGGUGACAUGGGAAAUUAGGUCCACGGGUCUUCCCAUGCUCAGCUUGGUGAUAAAAAUCCUUUUCCCCAGCAUUCACUGUGACAGAGAUACAGCAAUAUUUACAGAUAUUAUACGUCUGGACCCCGUUGACUCUGUCCACUGCAGAGACCUCCGUUUUGCUUUUUCCUGGUUGGCCCUCCUGCACCUCGCCCACGAUGUGAGAUGAUGGGAUGAUAGAUGAGUAUCUUUUGUACACUUUAGUACUCUGAAAGGACGUAAACAGUUAGAUUACAAUAAACCAAACUGUAUCCACGUAUAACACAUCCAGGUGCAGCCCAGAGCAGUGAGAAUAGGAAAGAGAGCUUUUUGUUUAAUGUGCUGUAUACAGGAUACUGUAUAAAUGGAUAUGCAUAAAUGAGUUAAUGUUUUUGUUGCGGUUGCUGUUGUUGUUGUGUCACAUAGUAAUUUCUAACAAGUUAAACCAGAAUAAAACAAAAUAGAGAUUAUUUUUUAUUAUAUUAGUCAACUGUAUUACCAGUGGAUGUUAUUAACGUUGAACUGCUAGCAGAGGUAGCUUUACAAGUGGACAAUCUGACCCUGGUUUGUUGACAAUAACUAAACGACUCUCCUUCUUAAUGCAUCUUAACCAUGUGACAAAUUAUGCCCUUUUUUCAUUUGAUUACUUAUACCCUAUUCACAUUAUAAUCAGCUUUAUGAUAUC